CCUACGGGAGGCAGCAGUGGGGAAUAUUGCACAAUGGGGGAAACCCUGAUGCCGCGACGCCGCGUGAGUGAAGAAGCGUUUCGGCGAGUAAAGCUCUGUCAGCGGGGCAGAAAAACGGUUCGCGAGAGCCGCGGACGGUACCCGACCACGAAGACCCGGCGAACUACGUGCCAGCAGCCGCGGUAAUACGUCGGGGGCAAGCGUUAUCCGGAUUCACUGGGUGGAAAGUGAGCGUAGACGGCGAGAAAAGUCUGGAGUGAACGGCCGGGGCCCAACCCCGGGACUGCUCUGGAAACUGGCUGGCUUGAGUACAGGAGAGGUAAGUGGAAUUCCUAGUGUAGCGGUGAAAUGCGUAGAUAUUAGGAGGAACACCAGUGGCGAAGGCGGCUUACUGGACUGUAACUGACGUUGAGGCUCGAAAGCGUGGGGAGCAAACAGGAUUAGAUACCCCAGUAGUC
rnacentral:rRNA from 1 species